GGCGGGGUGACGGAGCGGUCUAACGUGGCUGCCUUGAAAGCAGCUAGGCAAUCGCUGAGGUUGCCUCGAGGGUUCGAAUCCCUCCCCCGCCG
rnacentral:tRNA from 1 species